rnacentral:lncRNA from 1 species
AAGUAAAGAAUCGUGGAUCUUCCCAUUGAAAUAAUUUGUUUCUAUGAAUACAUUGGUUACUCAACUGAAAAAUUAGCUGUAGUUUUAUCUAAUUUAUGCUAUCUUUUCAGGCAUACAUAUUCAGAGACUACUGGGAGGACAUUGGAACAAUAAAAUCCUUUUAUGAUGCUAACUUGGCCCUCACUGCAGAGGCAUGUUGGAAAUUCCCCUUUAUGCUACUCAUCAUGUGCAAUGAACUUGUCCUCAUCUUUUAGAAAUUUAUCUCAGGUGAUUUUACAUCACUGCAUAAUCCAACUGAUUGGUUAUGGACUUUUAGUUUUAUAACCUCGCAAAUUAUCAAAUUUCCCUCUAUGCUACUCAUCAUAUGCAAUGAACUCGCCUCAUCUUUCAGAAAUUUAUCUUAGAUGAUUUUACAUUAGUGCAUAAUCCAACUGAU